UUCCCCCUCCCCCGCGUCCCAAACUGCGCACAAUAGCGCGCCGGCUCCUCUAUCUAUUUUGUGUCCAGCCGGGAGCCGCGAACGAUGAUUCAUUGCCCCAAUUAGGGGCUCUCUCCAGCGCGCCCGGCUCGAGCCGUCUGAAGGGUCUCCUCAGGGGACCGCGGAAACCCAUCAGCGGCUACAGCUGGUCUUUAAGUAAAGGUCAAGCAGGACGCAGAAGGAGCCAGAAUGAAGCAAGCACUUCUCUACUCUCCUCAGAAGGAGCUUCAAAUGUAGCAGGCCGCUGGCAAAAGAAGUAUGUUCUUCUCAGAGGAAGGAGUGCAAUCGUUAACAGUAAGAGGAAAUGAAACCUAGGAUUUACGGAGGCCUUGGGUUUAUGAACCAUUUCACACCUAUUGGGUCAUAUGACACAGCAAAGCGGGAAUAACCAAAGUGCCGUCUCCACGCAGGAGAGGAGGAACUGGGGUGGAAGGGCACCGUUCCUGGGACAAGGGCAAGCCCCCAGCUGCCGCGGCUGGUGAACUGUCCUUCCUUUUGUACAUGUAACUGUGCUAACUUGUUCACAUAAACAUUAAAAAAGAUUUGUGUUCAAUGA